GCGCAGGUGCCGGCCUGGGUGCGUGCGUGUGUGCAGAUCCCAGUAGGGUCCCACGCAGGUGUGAGAGACAAGUCACGGCCGCGUUUCCCCCGGUGCUAUCGCUUGGCAGAAGUUGGCCAAAAAGGGAAAAAAAGUACCGCAACGACCAGGAUGUCGACUGUCGUGCGGCCCACCGAUCUGAUUCGGAUUUCCCCGAUUUUACUUGGCCUCGUUGGCGCGCGUUGAGUUCUGAACCAUGGUAUCACCUGUGAGGGGCCGGUCCUCGCUGGCGCCUGGAAGCGGCAGACUUACCCUCUGCAGGCUUUACCCUCCACUGGGCUUAUGAUCUUAUUUUACAGCCAGUAAUGGAGCCCUCCUGCUGUUUUGGGAACAGCCCACUGCCCCUCCCCCACGGGGUCUCUUUGAAGAAUGCUCACACUUCCGGCUCACAGUGGGCCUCUUGGGAAAGAAGGCCAGGCAGCCGCGUCCUCUUCCACACCAUCUUGAACUCGUGAGACCUUAGCAGCAAAUGGCUACUGAUUGUAACUGAUUGUAAAUAACAUGGACACUAACCUGUUUAGAAGCCUUGUGCCUUUAAGGAUGUAAAGGUAACUUGAAAGUAAGCAUAGUGGUUAUUUUGGUGGAGAAAACCAACAAAUCGGCUAGAAAAUGAGUCACUUGUGUGUGCCGUUUCCGGGACUCGGCUGGAGGCAUCUUUCUGCAGACUUUCGAACCUCCGGAAUCUCACUGCCGGGGCUUCGUUCAGCAGCCUAAGUGACUAACAGCCCACACCAGUCUCGUAAUAAAAUACACUGUUUUCAUUUA